rnacentral:rRNA from 1 species
GAUGAACGCUAGCUACAGGCUUAACACAUGCAAGUCGAGGGGAAACGAUAUUGGAAGCUUGCUUCCGAUAGGCGUCGACCGGCGCACGGGUGAGUAACGCGUAUCCAACCUGCCCAUCACUUGGGGAUAACCUUGCGAAAGUAAGACUAAUACCCAAUGACGUCUCUAGAAGACAUCUGAAAGAGAUUAAAGAUUUAUCGGUGAUGGAUGGGGAUGCGUCUGAUUAGCUUGUUGGCGGGGUAACGGCCCACCAAGGCGACGAUCAGUAGGGGUUCUGAGAGGAAGGUCCCCCACAUUGGAACUGGGACACGGUCCAAACUCCUACGGGAGGCAGCAGUGAGGAAUAUUGGUCAAUGGACGAGAGUCUGAACCAGCCAAGUAGCGUGCAGGAUGACGGCCCUAUGGGUUGUAAACUGCUUUUAUAAGGGAAUAAAGUGAGAGUCGUGACUCUUUUUGCGUGUACCUUAUGAAUAAGGACCGGCUAAUUCCGUGCCAGCCGCCGCGGUAA